CCCAAGGUCAUUCAAUUGGCUUUCAUGCCUAAGGUGGGACUAGAACUCCCCAUUUCCUGGUGAUUGGCCCGAAAAGUCACUCAGGUGGCUCUCAUGGCUAAGGUGGGACUAGAACUCCCCAUCUCCUGGUGAUUGGUCCAAAGUCAACCAGCUGG